rnacentral:ncRNA from 1 species
UGAAAUGCGAUGAUAGGAAACAAAGCCCUGACGCACUUCCAGAGAGCCGGCGUUCGGUGCGAGCCGGUAGGGUUGCAGGGUCAUAGCUCCUCCUUGAGCAGAACAGCUGAACGGCUUCGCGCUAACUAAGCUGUUACGGUUUCUCCCGUUAUAGAGAGGCACAUUGUCUGAUGUGACCGAGUGGGCAGGCUUCUGCCAAUGAGAGUGGUACCGUGGAGUAUUCAGCUUCAUCUCUUGA